CUUCACUCAGUUUUCCCCUGCUAUACUUUGUUGAGGAUCAGUAGAGAAUCAAUUCUCAUUAGCUCCCCAGUCUCUACCAUGUCUCUCUUAUAAAUCCUAUGAAAUGACUCCAUGAAAAAAAUCAAGGAGCAGAGACGAAGAAUUAGAGAGUGAAGCUCUCCCAAAUGAGGCCUGAUCCACCUUUUGUUGCCAAACACUUCUAGCUCCACGACUCCACUAUGAUAUGAUCCACCAAAAGGAUGGAUCUAACCCUAGUUUCAUCAAAUUGAUGGAGCAGUUCACGAGUGCUCCAUCAAAUCCAAGUUUGGUGGAGUUGAGAAAAAUUAUCUACCGUGUCACUAUUUAGGUGAGUGAAAAAUAGUUUAUUUUUCUUUGUCUGUCUUCGGCAUCUCUUCUUCUCCCCAACCCUUUAUGAAGACCUAUUGAGCCCCACGCUAGUCGCACCGCACCCCGUCAACUAACCAUCCCACAUUCAUUUAUUCAGUUAUUCCGGUUUGAAAGGCCAGUGCUCAAGUCAUAAUGCCCUCUCUAUGCCCGUAUAAAUGUGGGUGGUUAAUAUUAUAAGAUAAUGUGCAUCACCUCAUGGAAUGAGUCAUCACUGAUAUACAAUUCUUUCUAAAGUGGUUACAUAAUCUAAUAUCUACAUUCUACACUACUACAAUAUUUUUAAUCGAGGCAGGCAAAGUGCUUAAUUGAGGCGAACAGACCAACUGCCUUGGACCAAAGAUCACGGUAAGUGAGACCUUUUUUAAAGCGAUUGCCUGCCUACCUUGGCUAAUCAAAUUAAAAAAAUAAAAAAACCAAAACCCAUGGACAAGCCCAAUGAACUCAUCCAUGGGCCCGCUAAGCUUAGCCCAUUCAAGGGCUGCCAUCACCACAUCUCACCGGACACGAGGAUCUGGCUGUCCACCAUCGGAUCUAGCCUCCAACCACUAGAUCUAUGGCAAGAGAGGGUAGAGGGAGGAGCGUUGUUGUAACUUGCCCACAUUGUCUCCGGGCUUUCCUCGCCCACGACGCCAUGCUAGAGGAAGAGGAGGUGACCACGUCACCUCGCACGGAUCUAGGAUCCCCACCACCGGAUCCAUGCUCUCCGUGCCGCGUCAUGCCGGAUCUGGAGGGAGGGGCGCCACUCCAAGAGGGGCCCAUGUGGCCACGCUAGAGAAGAAGGAGGUGGCAGCCGCGGAGACCUCAUGUAGGGCCACCACCAUCGGAGUUAGAGGGGCAUUGUUGAUAUUAGUUAUGCACACAAAAGGAUCAAAGAAAAAUAAUCCGCAAGCGCAU
rnacentral:lncRNA from 1 species